rnacentral:rRNA from 1 species
AUUGAACGCUGGCGGCAGGCCUAACACAUGCAAGUCGAGCGGAGCGGCGGACGGGUGAGUAAUGCCUAGGAAUCUGCCUGGUAGUGGGGGAUAACGUCCGGAAACGGGCGCUAAUACCGCAUACUAUCAGAUGAGCCUAGGUCGGAGUAGCAAGUUGGUGGGGUAAAGGCCGACCAAGGCGACGAGCCGUAACGGGUCUGAGAGGAUGAUCAGUCACACUGGAACUGAGACACGGUCCCGACGCCUACGGGAGUCAGCAGUGGGGAAUAGUGGACAAUGGGCGAAAGCCGGAUCCAGCCAGUCCGCGUGUGUGAAGAAGGUCUUCGGAUUGUAAAGCACUUUAAGUUGGGAAGCGUUACCAACAGAAUAAGCACCGGCUAACUUCGUGCCAGCAGCCGCGGUAAUUC